GAUGAACGCUGGCGGCGUGCCUAAUACAUGCAAGUCGAGCGAACGGACGAGAAGCUUGCUUCUCUGAUGUUAGCGGCGGACGGGUGAGUAACACGUGGAUAACCUACCUAUAAGACUGGGAUAACUUCGGGAAACCGGAGCUAAUACCGGAUAAUAUUUUGAACCGCAUGGUUCAAAAGUGAAAGACGGUCUUGCUGUCACUUAUAGAUGGAUCCGCGCUUCAUUAGGUAGUUGGUAAGGUAACGGCUUACGAAGGGAACGAUGGAUAGCCGACCUGAGAGGGUGAUCGGCACCGCUGGAGCUGAGACACGGUCCAGACACCUACGGGAGGCAGCAGUAGGGAAUCCUGCGCAAUGGGCGAAAGCCUGACGGAGCAACGCCGCGUGAGUGAUGAAGGUCUUCGGAUCGUAAAACUCUGUUCUUAGGGAAGAACAUAUGUGUAAGUAACUGUGCACAUCUUGACGGUACCUAAGCAGAAAGCCACGGCUAACUACGU
rnacentral:rRNA from 1 species